rnacentral:lncRNA from 1 species
GGUGAAACCCUAUCUCUACUAAAAAUACAAAAAUUAGCUGGGCAUGGUGGCGCAUGCCUGUAAUCCCAGCUACUCGGGAGGCUGAGGCAGGAGAAUUGCUUGAACCCGGGAAGCAGAGGUUGCAGUGAGAUGAGAUCAUGCCACUGCACUCCAGCCUGGGCAACAGAGCAAGACUCCAUCUAAAAAAAAAAAAAUCACAUACUCAUUUUAAAGGAGCAGCAACCUAACCAAAGUUAAAACUUCAUUUGAUUUUAGGUUUAGAAAUUCUAGUUUUAUUUUGGAGAAUCACUCAGUUUUUAAUAUCAAUUAAAAUACUCUUCAAAGGAAUGAAAAGGAAGUCUAAGUAAAUCAAUAAAACUCGUUUUUCAUUUUAUGAUAGUAUAGAAAGCAUUGAUGUGUGUAGAGAAAUUAAAAGACAAAAGUGGUUUACUGUCUAUGCACAAAUGAGUGCCUAUAUUUAAGGCUGCCUAUGCCAUUACAGUGGCAUAAUCGUUGAUUUCACAGCAUACAGAGAAACAAUGAAAUCAAAGAUUAAAUCAUUAAUUAGGUUAUGAUGGUCAUUUGUAAGACUGGAAAGUAGUCAAAAACCCAGGUGCAACUUUUUUCAGCACUCUGCCAUUAGGCUCCUUAGGCAAGCUGCUUAACUUCAGUCAGAAGCAAUGGUGUGGGAGAACACCAUUCACCUCAGUAGUAACUUAUAAAAACCAUGUAAAGAGGAAAAUGGGCCCCAGCCGCUAGGAUCCCUGACUUCCUGAUAUUCUAAACAUGAGAGUUCUAUGACUUUAACUGAGCUUUUUACCAGAAGUAACGUGUUGAUAUGUAUUAUCUUUCUACCAUGCUUUGACCAAAGUACAUUCACAGUAACUAGAGAAAGCAGUUCAUCCAUUUCUGGAUAGGUGAACCAGGGCAAGGUAAGAACAGAAAGAAAGUAAAGUAGUACUGAGUCAUACAGGUAUCAGAUUAACAGACAUUAGUUGAUGAUAAGUAAAAUAACUUUGGAGAUAGCAGAGAAGAGCAAGAUGUUGGACGCUGGCAGUAAGCCUCAGCAAGGCAGUUAGGAAAUUACAUGAGCCUGAUGACUCAAAGGUGAUGCCUCCAUCUCUCCGCUCAGUGGUUAUUAAAUUGCUGGGAAAGACCUGCCUUUAUUUUCCUAUCAUCUUUUCCCCAUUACUUUGCAUUAUUCAGGAAAUAGUUCUUUAUUCCCAAAUGUAAUUUUCUAAGCAGUGACUACAAAAAUUUCUUAUUCUAAGGAAAAUAAUUAAGAAAAUAACCCUAUCUGUGGCAUUAUUUUAAAACGUGGGAUACUCUGGAACAACUGUACUUUAUCUGGUAAGCAGAUUUCAGGUUAUUGUUUUCUUUUAAUGGUUUACAUGAAAUUUUCCUCUCAAAAAACAAGUACCUCUUACUGUACAACAUUUGAGUUUUUAAAAUUGAGAUAGCUUCUGAGAGAAAAAAAAAGUUGAAUUUGUAGCUCUGUCAACUACAAAAUCACCACACUUUUCUCAAAUAUAAUAGGAAUUCAGUGUCAUUACAGAUAAGAUCUCUCUAAUGACCAGAUGAAGACAAUUGAAGGUUUGGUAGAACUUCUGCAAAAGUUAGGUAAAGAAGAAUAAAUCCAGUUUGUCAGCUUUGUUCAUAUUCUUUUUCUGAGUGAUCUAAAUUUUUCUUGCUUGUGAUCAUGAGCCAAGACAAGGAGUGUUAAAGGUUUUCUGAAUGCAAACACGUAUACAUUUCUGCAUUUCAGAAAUCAGUCUUAAUAGUAAAUCCUACAAACUCUCAACUUUCUGCAUUGUAUUUUAAGUCUAUACAAUGUUAGGGCACAUGGUAAUGUGGGACAGAGUUGAUUAUAUGAUAGCAUAAGAAAUUUGCACUUGUUGUGUUACAAACCAAUGAUUUAACCAGCAUACUCACCAAAUAAGAAAAAGUAAAAACAUCUCAUUAGGUUUGGAAGAGCCUAAGUUAGUCCAUACAGGAAGUUUGCCUGAGAACGGAGAGGAGCCUGUUGAUUGGCAUGACUCAUGAUGCCUUUCUUGUAUGAAUUAUCAAAACUCUGAUAUUGAGUUGCCCCUAGAAAACAGCCUUCCAGAAUAUAUUUGCUUAUUUAUGGUGGAAGAUGAAGUGAGAACAAGAUGAGAGUUUCCCUUAAAGUGAGGAGAAUCAUUAUACUAAUUUGCAACUGAAGUAUGUUUCCUUGUAGCAAACCUUUGGUUUAUUUUAUCAUCAAAUCAAAGCCACCUUCAGUUUUUUGUAUGGUGCCAUCAACCUAAGGAGGACAAUCAAAUAACCCGUUGUUUGCCUUGGAUUCAGUAUAUCUACUAAGUACACAGUCUCAUAUUGUAUACCUUCAAACCAGUUACUUGACUAUACUUCCACCAUAUUACCUUAGUUCUUCCUAUGCCCUUUCCUCUGUGCCACCACAAGUCGGAGGGAAAGACUGCAGUACUUCUAGAAAGAUGUGGACGUCUAAGAAAGAGCCAGGCUUCCAUCUCACUAUCCCUUGAUCAUUAUCUCUGAAGUCCCUACCUGCACUUCCCUGAUUGCCCUAUAGCAACACCAGCAUGGUGGGAAUAGGGGGAAAGAUUGUGAAAAAUCCCUAAAGGGUAAUUGUUCAUGACGUUGUUAUUUUGAAUUGUAAAAUUGUGAGCCACUCACAUUUCAAUUGCAAAAAGAACAGAACUCUUUAUCAUGUUGUGAAGAUUAAUUUCUUGCCAUUUUCUGGAUUAGCACAGAAGCUUGUAUCAAUGAAGAGUAUUUAGGAGGGAAAUAGGGUGAAGAUUGUAUUUUUCUGUUCAAACUCUCUCCUUCUAUUUGUGUUUCCUUCACCCCUCUCCCUCCACCACACUGUGUUGGUCAAAUGAUACUAUUCUAUGAAACCCUGAGCUAUAGUUGUCAAAAGUAACUAUGGAUUGUGAUUAGUCUUCUGUGGGUGCUUCUUUCCCUCUUUUUUCUCCCUUACUCUCUUUCUCAGUCUCCACUCUGGUAAAUGGAAAAGGUGACGUCGGAGAAUUGAUGCUUGCUUGGACUCAUGUUGUAUCUGUGACUAUGCUAUUAGCUGUCUCCUUUUUCCUUCCUAUAUGGGUAGAAUUCUUACGACUUAUGAAGUUCCCUUCUUGAUAAGUAGGUUAAAUGCACAAUGUGGUACUGUUUUAUAGUUUCUAGAUGGUUGUAUAAAGCAAAAAGUUAAUGUGGUUAUGUGUUUUUAAAAGAAAAUAAGU